GUCCAUUAGACUAUUAACGUCCACGACUCAACCUUGCAACUCCAGCGCGCUCAUCACCCGCGUUCUGUCGGUGUCAAUGCUAGCUCAUCCUAACACCCGGUCACUUCCCCAGCGGCCAAAGCUGGCUCUCUCGCGGCACCAGGGAGCGCCCGGCUGCUCAGCGCUUCACCAUGCGCUGUGGCCCCAUGCCUUCUGACGCCUUCCCCGCCUUGCCCUCGCUGCCCUCCUCUGACUCCUACUCAGCCCUCUACUUCUUCUCCGCCAGACACUGCAGCGCCAGGUCGCGCUCCUCCACCAGCUCCGCCUCGGUCACACGCAGGCGCUCGCGCGAGGGGCCGUCGAUGGGUAGACCUGCGCCGCGGGGGAAGGAGGGCGUCAAAUCAUGAUACCGUAUCGCAGGCAUUGCUGACUAGGCUAGCUUUAAGACGUCGCAUGCUCGUGGGGGGUUCAACAGGUCCGCGGAUGUGCGCAGCGAGCGCCUGAAGCCGCGAGCACGAGCAUGCAACUUCUCCUACCCCGCGUGAAAAACCUUGCCACAGAGGUGACGUGCCGACAAGCCAAACACCCUCGCAGCCGCCCCCGAACGCAGCGACUCACCCUGAACCACCUUCCACUUGCCGCCCGCGCAGGUGACGGGGUAGGAGUACACCAGGCCGCGCUGCACGCCGUAGGAGCCGUCACUAACCACGCCCAUGGACGUCCAGCUGCCGCCGGGCGUGCCGCGGACCCAGUCGCGCACGUGGUUGCACACG
rnacentral:lncRNA from 1 species